UGCAAUGAAAUAUAAAAAUAAAAUACCAUAUGGUAUUAAUAUACUGUUUGAUGCCAGCCAUUUCAGAUCGUUCUAUAUCAGUUUCCAAACAGUGAAAAUUUUAGAUAUUGUUGUCAGUAUAUUUUGGGGACAGCAGUACAUUAUAGUGGAGUAUACUUGUACUAUGGAUUCAUCCUCAUUUAGGACUGUAACUUAUUUCACUUUCUUUUAAUGGCCAAUUGAAGUGUUUAUUUAUUAUGUCAUUCAAUUCACAUUAACAUUUAUAUUUUUCAGUCUCAUUUAAAUCAUCUACAGGAACAUAUAGAGGAAUCAAAAAGACCUGCAAUCUCGGUUUCAUCCUUGCCUAUAUAAUUCUAUUAGUCACACAUUUAUACAUUAAUAUGCACUUUUUUAUUCUGUCAUUCAUUAGCACAUCCAUAUCAUCUUUCGUUCACAAUCUCCCACUCCAGAUCAAAUUCUAGUGUGUUCUUCUUCACAUAAUCAAAUGCAUAUCUCUUUCAAGGCAUCACAUUCAGCUUAUAUUUUCAUAUCUAAUAGACUCUCGUACAUUCUUUUUAUCCAUUCAUUCGUUUUCCACAUAUCCAAUAUCUGUUCACACUUCUAUUUCCAUAUUCAUUGCCUAUUAUCCAGACUAGUUGUAUCAUGUUUGACAUUUCAGUUUUAUUUAUGCUUUGAAAUUCCAGAUAAAAUUUGCUAUGCUAGUGAUAGUCUCUACCAAACUAUGGUAUAAUUUGGUAGAGGUUUUGCCUUGUUGAGAAUUCAGAUGAUCUCUGAUGCCAUUUCAUCUAAUUCGGAUUUCUGAUUAUUAUGGCCUAUUUAGACUACUAAUAACCAAAAAGAUCAAUGGAGUACACAAUUCUUUUGUCAUAGAAAGGCAUGAGCCAAAGGAUGAUAUAGUAAUUUUCUGUAUUUCAUAAUCAGUUUGAAAAAACCCCAUUUAUUUGUAUUCCUUUGUGUUGUUAUUGUUUUCCCUAAAGCCUUGUACAUUUUCAUAUACAUCUAAUAUCAUUUUCCAAUUGUAUCC
rnacentral:lncRNA from 1 species